GCCUCUGUAACUCAGCGGUAGAGUGUUUGCCUCGUAAGCAAAAAGUCGGGGGUUCAAAUCCCCCCGGAGGCU
rnacentral:tRNA from 1 species